rfam:Marinomonas ushuaiensis DSM 15871 contig8, whole genome shotgun sequence.
UAGGAUGUCUGAAAAUAUGCUCGGCUAUCCUUUAUUUUUAAAUAGCAUAUUAAUUUGGAGAUAUAGAUUAUGGCAUUAACUGCAGAAUCAAAAGCAGCGUUGGUUAAAGAGUUUCAAGUAGCGGAA